AGAGGAGGAUUGGCAGUAAUUAGCUCAGGGCUAAUCUUCCUCCAAAAAAAAAAAAAAAAGCUGUGGACAUUUGCCCUCGGAAUUGAAAUCACUCCAAAGAGUGGAGAACCUGCCCUCAAAUUGUCUCAUCAUAGGAGUAGACAUUUGAUAGAGGCUUUCCUUUUGAUUUCAGUCCUUAAAUGCUAUUUUAAAUUCUUUCCAGGCAUUUAAGCUAUGCCCUAGUUCUAUUUGUCUACAUUUCUUGUUAAAAGAACCCAAGUGUUACAGACAACUGUUACUAUAAGGGGCUUCGCUACAUACCAUCAUGCUGACCGGCCUUUGGUUCAACAAAUAAUUCCUGGACUAAGGAGUCCUUCAACUCUGGUAUUGCCGUACCCUAGAUGUGGUGCCAUUACAGACCGUCCCAGAAUUUUUGUUUUCAUUUAAAUUCACGUUUAAGGCAGAGGAGGAUUGGUAUGAGAGUUUACAAAACCAACCUUUUCUGGAAAACAAGCUCUAGCCUAGAUUAGAUAAUGAAUCACAAGAGAACACCAUGGUUACAGCCCACAUCUAAAUGAGUAAAUAGCCCUGAAAGAUGAUGUUUAAAGAUUUUUAAAUAAAACUUAGUAAGCUUAUGAAAAUAACAUAUUAGGACAUAUCAACCUGGCACCCUCCCUGAAUCUACUGAAAAAAUGCCUUCAUCAAACCCAACAAAUUAACUGUUUGCAUACCCUGAGCUGCUAUCCAUUUAACAAAGGUUUAUGAAGUGCCUGUUCUGGCAGGGCUUUAGAAAGACUCCCUGGCCUCCUGGAUUGUCCAUGUUAGUGAGGAGACUCUGUCAUGUGUUUUCCCCCCGAAGCAGCUGGAUACACUGUAUGGGAAGGGUUCAUGUUGGCCUGGGGAAGGCCUGGCUUACAAGGCCCCUAGGAGUCCGUCUGUGGGUAUCCAAGCUAGAAACAACCAAAGCAAGGAGGAAGAGUAACAAGUGCUGAGCCCCCAAGGAGGCUGCUACCAGCAAAUACCCUCAAGCCCAAAGGCUCUCUCGCUAUGUUGCUGUAUGCAUAGGUUGAAGAUCUCAGGAGGUUAUGUGCUCUGUGGCCCCCAGCAGGUCAUGAUGUCUCACAACCAGGGAGGGUUGAAAAGAAUUUAUUUUCCAGAGAUGGGGCUAAGCAGAAUGGAGAGAAGCAACACUGAAAAGUGUUUCCCCAUUAUUUCCUGUGCUAUAUUUUUAUUACCUUCCAUUCUACUCUCUGUGCUCUAAGGCAUUUACAUAUAAGUGUCCAGUGUGUUUUUACCCAGAAAAUGGAACAUAAAGCAGGUAAUUCUGAAGCUUUCCUGCUGGCUCUGUAACCUCUGAUGCAAGAUAUUCUAUAUAUUUUGUAACCGUGCUGGUGGACCAGGGCUGACAUACCCUGGAAACCCCCUUACUAAGGGAUUGACAAGGAGUAAGCACCACUGUCAGCUUGUCAAACUUGCUUCAUCGUGACUCACAGCAGCUGAAUGAACCACAUGGGAAAGCACAUUGGGUAGCACGGGUACUAAGUGCUGUGCAGCUGCACAGUCUCAUUGAGACAGUCCCUGCCUGACUUUGCAGCAGCACCAUGGUAUACAAGGGUGCCAAAUUGGGGCAUGCCCAGGAUAGGAUCUCUCAGGGAAGGCAAAAUGUUGCACCAUCCUUUGGGUUCUUGUCUCCCCUUCACCCCCAUUACUGUGUAAUGCCUUUUCUCCCCAAAGUAAGGCCCUGGAGAUCCCUUAGAGCUUAUUUAACCCAUAUAUAGGUAAAACUAUAAAGAGGAAGCAGAGUAGAGGCCGUAUUAGAUGGCUUCACCACAGUGCCUGCCACAACUGUUCUGCCUGAAACAUCCCUUCUCAUUGCCCAGAGCUGCAGAGGGUCUGAGAUUUUACCCUGCUUACAAGCUAACGCUUUUCAUAGAUUCUGGCAGAAUAUAUGAGACCCCCUGGAUCAGAGACAAGAUUAUUUCUCACUACAUGGCAGUCGGCACAAGCUUCAUGAUUGGGUCAGUUCCUUUUGCCCCUGUGUCCCUUGGGGAUGAUGCAGAGCUGGGCCCCGGUGGGUGCCGCACACACGGUGAGUUUGUGUCACAAAUGAGGAAAUUCGAGCUUAGGUAACCCCAGUCUUGUAAGAGGGCUGCUGGCAAGUCUGCCUAACCUUUGCCCCAGAGCAAAACAUUAUUUGUUAUCUUGGUAAGGAAACAAAUCUGUCCUCUGAUCUGGGGGUAGGAGAUGGUAAUAUAUCUGUCUUCUAAGACUUUUCUAUGCACACUCUAAAAGGACAGUACAGAACAAAGCUGUCGAUGCCCCUUGGUCAGAAGACAUGAGAAAUACAAGACACCCAUGAAUUGCCUCCCAGCUCCCAUAGCCCCUGCCAAAGGGAUGGGACACUGCAGGUCACAAGGCUCCACUCCGUCCAGCUACAGCUAAUUAGACUGGUGGUAGGCACCUGCUUCAAGGCCCGUCCCUUCAGAGGUUGGCCAAUAAACAGGUGCUAAAGUUAAGGCAAGCCAGCCUGGUUCUCUCGCUAUUUUAUGUUGAGAAAGAGAGAAUUCCCAGUAGGAAAUGGGAGCUGAAGCAAAAGGGUUGCAUGAGGAGGGAUAUUAAAGUUGUGAAUAGCCAUGUAAUGCUGAAAUGAUGAAGAAGCAGAAAAUUAGAGCAACUAGAAACUGCGAGUGAGAGAAGAUAAGUGAGAGUGGAUUGAAGAGGAAGCCAACUGUAGUGGAGGGAAGGAAGCUGAGCCCUGUUACCGGUGGAACAGUACGACAUAGAAACAGUCAUGGCUCCUUCCUUUCCCGAGGCAUCUUCUUACUUUUCGUCCCCAUCUGCUACCCACACCAAAUAUGGGCAUCCUUUAUAGUGACACAUACACAAGCCAUUACUGCAGAGAAUUUGAGUGAGUUUCUUAGCUAAGUAAACUUUGGUUAUGAAUAUAAGAGGUGCAGAAAAGAUGUAGGACAGUAAGAGUAAAUUAGCAAACAUUUAUUGAGUACGUACUAUAUGCCAGGAAUGCUUAUAGGUAGUUUUAUGUGCUUUUUCUUAGUUAGUCCCAACAAAACUUCUUAGAGGUAGACUAUUCUAAUCUCCAAAAGGCAGCAGAAGGUUAAGUAGUUGGCAAGGGUCACACAGCUAGUAAGUAAGGUACUCAGGAAUCUAUUCCAGUGCUCUUAACUGCCUUGUUAUAUUGCCUUCCACGUGGGUGAGUUCACACUCAAGUUAAGUAUAGAUGAAGUAAGUUUCAGCUAGAGUACUAAUAGUUCUUGCAGACUAACUUGCGAGUUCAAUAGCCCUUUAUAACAUUGUUUCAAUGGAGAUGAAAACGCUAAACAUUUGGACCCAAAACUACUCAGAAAUUGGUAAUUAUCUGUAUUAAUAACCAUAGAGAAUAAGCCCAAAGAGGCUAAGGAGAGGAGCCUAAACAUAUUACGUUGAUUUAUUCUCCUACCUGAAAAAAAUGAUCUCAGCAGAUGGAGAAGUUUAUGUUACUUUCAAAUCCACUGCAGAGAGAAUUCUGCCUCCACUAUUUUUCGUUUGUCAGUCCCUGUGGUACCCAUAGUGCCAGUGAACACUAUCCACACGUCUAAAUAAGCAACAGCAAUGACGUGGUCAAAGGAAACCUGUUGUAUUUCCACAGACUGGUAAGACCUGGGUUGAAAGCAGGUUGUGAUUGAAUAGGGGUAAAUGUCAGGUCCCUGUUAGUCACACAAAAUCCACUCUACAUGGGCUUGCCCUCUCCUAAUUAGUCUCUGUCCCAGACAGCUAAUCCUUUUGGUUAAUGAGUACCUAUGGCAUCAUCUCCAGUAACACAUACCACAGGAACCUGGGAGAGGUUUGCCAAAGCAAGUUGGCAAAGGUGCUUGUCUUCAUAGACUGCUUUGUAUUUAGAUUCAAUGAAAAACUAACAAAUCACCAAUGUAUCACCUCACUUAAGGAAGAGGCAGUGGCUUGCCCAUGAUCACACAGCCAGAAAAUGUUGGAUCUAGGCCUUGAAUUCAGGUUUUCUGACUCCAAACACAGUUCGUCCACUCUGCCAAAAGCUCCGCCCUUGCUUUCUUGCCCAGUGUAAUCCUCGGGUGAGUCAGGGCAGCAGCUAAGGUUAGAUCAGAAAUAGGUUGUGUUUACCUACAAGCCCGCUUUGUGCAUAGGUCUCAGCUUCCAGCAGACAAAGUGGGAAAAUAAUAACAAAGAAGCAGAUCAAGACAUUUGCUUGGAGGCUCAACCAUCGCCUUUCUCCCAGCAAUCUGCAGCCCAGAGGCCAGGGUCAAGUCCCCACGCCUGUGUCACAAUAGUUUGACCCAGGGAAAAUCAGAAAUCAGAGAAUGUGAGUACUGGAAGCAACUUUAAAGAUCAUGUGAGAUACUUCACAAUCGGUGGUUUGGAUUCUUUUGAGAAUUUGAGGAAACAUAAGAGCACAUUUCCUGAGAACAUGCACAUUAAAACAUACGCAGGACUCCUUGGAGCCCAGAAAAAGAAUCUGGGUUUUUUGGACUUGAAGGAUCACUGAGAUAAAAUGACUUGCUCAAGACCGUAGAAGAAGUUGAUGGAGUUGGGACUCCAGCCUGAAGUACAAGGGGGUCCUGGCUACCCUAGAGUUCAUCAUGUAAGGCCCUACUGCUUUCAGUGGGCAUGGGAGGCUUUAUUAAGGAAAAUACUGUAUUAUCUAAUGGACCAAACAGCAUUAAGUUAUUUCCCAUUCAAAUAUUCUGCUCCGUUUAGUGUUGACUCCCACCAAUUACAUCACUGUCUUUCUUGUUCAGAUUCCAAGAUUACUGUUGUUUAGAAUAUCCAGCAAAGCCCUGUCAAUAUGAUGCACAUUGGUUGCAAAGCGAAAUGAAAAUCUUGUGAAAGAAGCAGAAUUUCAUGAGAUUGAUGGAAGUGAUGUAGAGAACUGCUCAAAAUCACACACACAAAGACUUUGGUAAACAAGGAGCUAGUGGAGUUAGACUGGUUGACAACUGAGAAGAAUAAAGCACAUGAAGGCUGACAGGCUAAGCACCCCAACAGGCUAAGCACUCCAACAGAGAAUAUUUGGAUAUGAAAAGGUUUAAGAGAAUCCCCUGGGGAGACCAACGAAGCCCUCACACAUUUUUGUUAAAUGAUGCUCUUUAUAGUCACGUUGUGAAAACCAAGCAUCAAAUGAAAUAUGGUAUAUGCCGAAGUACAGUUUUGUUGGAAAGUUACACCAAAAUCUGUAUAGUUUUUAAUUUCAUUAAAUCCUAUGGAGGCUUUUUUUGUUUUCAACAUUUACUAUGAAAUUUUGGCCAACCCUGCAGAUCUAGUGGUUAAGAUUCGGCCACCACGGCCAGGUUCGUUUCCGGAUCAGGGAACCACACCAUCCUUCUGUUGGUUGUCACACUGUGGUGGCCAUGUGUUACUCUGAUUCUGAAAGCUAUGCCAUUGGUAUUUCAAAUACCAGCAGAGUCACCCACGGUGGACAGGUUUUAGCAGAGCUUCCAGACUGGAAAGAAGGACCUGACCAGCCACUUCCGAAAAAUAUUGUCAAUGAAAACCCUGUGAAUAGCAGCGGAGCAUUGUCUGAUACAGCGCCGGGAGGUGAGAGGAUGGCACAAGAAGAUGGAGCAGGGUUCCACUUUGCUGUACGCAGCAUGGCUAGGAGUCGGCAUCUACCGGACGGCACUAACAACAGCAAAUGAAAUUUUGGUCCCUAUUUUAAGUGAGCUCGCUAUACAUUGCUGUUUUUUAUUUUACUCAUUAUCCUUGGAUAAUGAGUAUGUCCUGUAUUUCAUUCUAACUUCAAGGAGCAGAAACCUCUUUUUUGUGUUGAUCUUUAAUUACACGUUUCUGACUCCAAAUCACAAAGUUCCUUGAGAACUGUCAUUUUGCAAAUCUCCCUCCAGGAAAUUUUUGGUCACAUUCAUAGAUAUGGAGUGUCAAUGAUGACCUCUAAGGGAUAAAAUUGUGGUGUUACAAAUUGAGUAAAUUUUAAUACACUGGGAAGAACUUUUCUGAAACUCCAUGUUCAUCAUAACUCAAUAUUGUUUUGAAAAAUGAGAAUGUCAUUGAAACCAAAGGGCAUGGACGUGAAAUAGAUGAAUUCUAGGGUAUUUAUUGAAUACCUCUCAUAGACGGAAUUUUAUAAAGUCUUAUGUGGUUUGAAUAAUUGGUAACUAUGCAUGCAUCUGUUAGCAGAUAUUUUAAUCAUUAAUGAUUCUGCAGAGAAAACACGCUCCAAGACAUUUUUACUCUGUGUGGUAAUCUAAGAAUGAAUUAUAAAAUUAAAUUUUAUAAUUAGAUUGUUUGGGUUUAUCCAGCGUCAUGGAAUUACUGUUAAUUUGAAUCGUUGAUCAGUUUCUUAUUGUGACUUUACAAUGGCAAUAAAAUUCAGGGACUCAUAUUUAGGCAUCUCUCCUGCUUAGUUAGCUAUUAAACAUCUCCAUAGUUUUUGCCCCAACAUUUUAAGGCUUAGCACCUAUGGUAACAUAGGGCUAUUGGUAGGGUGACCAUAUAAUUUAUCAUCCAAACUGGUGUACUUUCGAGAGGGACACUUUUAAUAAGUACACUGGGACAGCAGUUGUAAACAAGGAUUAUCCCAGUACACAAGGACAUAUGGCCAAUAUACCUAUUGAUGGCCUGUUUGUUAUUGUUGCUUGGGAGUCAGGGACCCCUGCCCCUCAUCAUUUAUAAGCCCCCGGUGCACAUUCAACCCCCUCCACCUGAGACACAGGU